CAAGGCCAGAAAAUGGGAAAGACGGGGGUUCCAGGGACACUACUGCUGUGUUUUGGGAAAAGUCACAAAUAAACUGCCCAUUAAUGAGCCUGGCAUUAAACCACGCCAUAUAAGCCAGGUGCCCACCGGAGUUUGGCACCACCCUGCCUGUGGAUUAGCGCUUCCUAUUUUGGGGAAUGAAACACCUGGAGGGCAAGAUUAUGACCUGUGCAGUAAUAAGUUAUGCCUAUCAGUUCCUAGAGCUGUAACUAUGGAAGAAUGAUCAGAGAUGGAAGGUUGCUGGAUCUGACGAUGGAGGAAGGAACCAUGAACUGGGAGAUGUGGAUGGCCCCUAGAAGCUGGAAAAGUGAAGAAAAGCGAAGGCUUCCUUAGAGCCUCCAGGAAGGAGUACAGCCUUACUGUACUUAAAUUUAGUCCCUCUACACCUGUGUCAGACUUGCAAAACUGUAAGGUAUCACAUGGAAAAUCCAGCCCUACUACACACAAGUUUAUUGAGUGUCUACCUUAUGAGAAGUCUUGCCUGAGUCUCAGAAAAUGUAAAGAUGAGUAAGACACCAAAUUGUUCAUAAUGCUCAAGAUAGGCCCAUAAUUUUAAAAAUGAAGACAUGUACUAAUAGACUAUAGAGAUGAACGACAUAUGCUAAUAGUCUAUAGAAAUAAAAGGUAACAGUGUG